CCUACGGGUGGCAGCAGUGAGGAAUAUUGGUCAAUGGGCGGAAUCCUGAACCAGCCAUGUCGCGUGCAGGACGACUGCCCUACGAGUUGUAAACUUCUUUUGUACCGGGGUAAAAUGCGUCACGUGUACCUUUUUGACUGUCCUUUACGAAUAAGGAUCGGCUAACUCCGUGCCAGCAGCCGCGGUAAUACGGAGGAUCCGAGCGUUAUCCGGAUUUAUUGGGUUUAAAGGGUGCGUAGAUUGGUUUAUAAGUCAGUUGUGAAAUUUCGCUGCUCAACAGUGGAGCUGCCGCUGAUACUGGAGGGCUAGAGUACGGAUGCGGCAGGCGGAAUGUGUGGUGUAGCGGUGAAAUGCAUAGAUAUCACGCAGAACACCGAUUGCGAAGGCAGCUUGCUAGGCCGGAUCUGACACUGAUGCACGAAAGUGUGGGGAUCGAACAGGAUUAGAUACCCGAGUAGUC
rnacentral:rRNA from 1 species